rnacentral:rRNA from 1 species
GACGAACGCUGGCGGCGUGCUUAACACAUGCAAGUCGAACGGAAAGGCCCCUUUGGGGGUACUCGAGUGGCGAACGGGUGAGUAACACGUGAGUAACCUGCCCUUGACUUCGGGAUAACUUCAGGAAACUGGGGCUAAUACCGGAUAGGAAUCCUUGCUGCAUGGUGGGGGUUGGAAAGCUUCGGCGGUUUUGGAUGGACUCGCGGCUUAUCAGCUUGUUGGUGGGGUAGUGGCUUACCAAGGCUUUGACGGGUAGCCGGCCUGAGAGGGCGACCGGGCACAUUGGGACUGAGAUACGGCCCAGACUCCUACGGGAGGCAGCAGUGGGGAAUAUUGCACAAUGGGCGGAAGCCUGAUGCAGCAACGCCGCGUGCGGGAUGACGGCCUUCGGGUUGUAAACCGCUUUCAGCAGGGGCGAAGCUUGUGGUGACGGUACCUGCAGAAGAAGCACCGGCUAACUACGUG